GCACGCUUUACGUGUCUGUCAAUGUGGCUGUGAUGUUCUCAGGAUGUGUGCAAUCCACAUCAAAAUAUUAGUUAGAAAAAAGAAAUAUUAAUUAUGGGAGAUGAGCACCCACCCCAGGUUAACAACACUAGCAGCUCCCGCCGUUCUUUCUUCAACGCAGCGCCCGACGAUUAUCGAUGUGAUGUGAUUCUUAAAGUGAAAAGAGCCACAGGGACAUUUUCAUUAGUGGCAUGCUUUUUCAUGCUGUUUGUGAUAUGGCUGUUCCGCCGAUAUAACUCUUUGGCUCAGAAAAUGAUAUUUAGUCUGACAGUAGCUGCAUUUUUUGACAGUGUUGCUUAUGUUAUGGUGAGUUGCACUGAUUCAUUUAUGUGUGUGUAAGAGAGAGAGAGACAUCCAAGCUAAUGUAUGUUGGAGAAAGGGAAAUGUUUUCUACCUUUUUAAUAACUAUUUCAUCACACCUUUUGCUUUCUUCUCAUAUGCAGGGAGAGUCUCAUCCAGAGGGGAAUCUGUGUAAUUUUCAAGCCUGGUGGCUCACAUAUUUUGACUGGACUGCGCUGAUGUGGGUUUGUCUUAUUACUUUUAAUCUGUACCUGAACCUGGUGAGAGAAAUUAGAACUGAACAUUAUUAGAUGUGAGUCACUAGACACACACAUGGAUAAACACGUUUAGUUGUGUAUACAUACAGACAGAGUGCUCCUAACAUCUGGAUGUGUUUCUCAGACUAUACCAUGUGGUGGCAUGGGGGGUUCCUCUGCUCAUGUCCACCCUCCCCCUGAUGGCUGGAUACUACGGUCCUGCUGGAGCCUGGUGGUGAAUGACUUUUGAUAUAUUCUUAGUUGCAAUCCUAUCAUUAACGGUGAUCAUCAGUCCUUUCUGUCUCAUUCUUUUCCUGCAGUUGGAUCACAGAUAAUCAUGUUGGGUGGAGGUUUGGCAUGUAAGUUUGUAAUGUUCAGCAUGCGUGUGAGUGUUUGCAGAAAUGCAUGCUGUGUUUAGGAAUG
rnacentral:lncRNA from 1 species